GACGAAGCGUGCGAACGUUGUUCGGAAUCACUGGGCUUAAAGGGCGCGUAGGCGGGCUGUCAAGUCUGGGGUGAAAUCCCGCGGCUCAACCGUGGAACUGCCUCAGAUACUGACGGUCUCGAGGGGGAUAGGGGCGAGCGGAACUGUGAGUGGAGCGGUGAAAUGCGUUGAUAUUCACAGGAACUCCGGUGGCGAAGGCGGCUCGCUGGAUCUCUUCUGACGCUGAGGCGCGAAAGCUAGGGGAGCAAACGGG
rnacentral:rRNA from 1 species